GAUGAGAAUCGAUUUUUUGUAGAAGAAUUUUGUAAAAGAUGAAACCUUGGAGAAGGGUUUAAGGGUUUACAGAUGGCAGCUUGAGGUUUUUAUUGGGUUUUCAAAAUUGAUUGUUAAUUUUGUAAAUUCGAGAUUGUUUAUUUAGGAAUUGACAAAUACCAUUUCUCUGUUUGAAACUGUAACACCCAAUUUCAAAAAUAUAAUGGUGCAUGCGGAAAGGUUUAAAAGAAUUGAUUUAACCACCUAUAUCAUCAAAGUGCACAUAUCUUUUCAGUUAAACAUCCCGAUAGAAUUUCAGAAUUAAAUGUGUUUGGGCUUGAGUAGUUCAAGAUGGGUGAACUUCCGGAAAACAAUUGUCGGAACCAUGCGAGUGAACCCAAAGUAUGGGGAAAGAUCAUGUGGUGAUUUGUAGUUUUGGUAACAAGUCUUUAAAGCCUCUUGGACAUGACGCAUCGACCGUCAGACAGAGGUGGUGCCCAUAAGCCCGAAAGAGAACGUGGGGCCCACUGGUAGGGGCGGUCGUGACGUUACAGAAAUUUUUAGUUAUCGAGGGGUUUUUAGUGUAUGAAAUAACAUAUACAGAUAAUUCAAUUAUCAUUUUGUUUGAUUCGGUAUAGUUUAAAUUUUGGUUCAUAUUCGUUUUCUUAAUGUUAAAAUACAUAUUUCUAACUCAAAACCAAUUGAAAAUAAGUGGAUUGACCUAUUCCUCGAGAUAAUGUUCAAUGAACUAUCUCGAUGGAAUUAGAUCUUCCUGAACUAUCUCGAUGGAAUUAGAUCUUCCUUUGGGCCAUCAAUUAGUGGAGGUGAUCGGACCAUUUUAGAAUAUGGGUUUCCAACUAACUUAGUUUUUCCUCUCAC
rnacentral:sRNA from 1 species